rnacentral:lncRNA from 1 species
ACUUCCAAGAUGGCGUCUUCACUCACAUAUCUGGAACCUCGGUGCUCCUUGUCCUUCACGCUCCAUUUGGUGCCUUAUUUUCCAGGCCCUCUUCCCUCAGGUAGCCUGGGCUUUCUCACAGCAUGGUGGCAUCAGGGUUGUAGGAUUUCUUACAAGGCACUGACUUGUAGAAAGUUUUCAGGAGCUCCGAAUGAGGAGAUUCAAGGGCUCUGACGACCAACCGUCGGCUGUCCCAGUACGUCACUUCUUCCACAUUCUAAUGGUCAGAGUAGUCACUAAGGCCAGUCCAGGUUCGCGGAAGGAAAAUUAGAUUCCACGUCUCUAUGGGAGGACUAGCCACACUAAGCCACUGCGCUGGUUUAGAACUGUCUGAAGUCCCUCCUAGAGGUCGUGUGUUUGAUUCUGCAUCUCCGUGAUUUGUGAAUCUUGCAUCAUUUAAAUUCAGCCUUACACACUGAUGCCUUUGGUGCCGUCCCAAUAUUUAGGUAGCAAACUCGUAGUGGGUAGAGAUUCAGGCUUAAGCUUCCAGCCUGGCUCUGAGGAGAACUGUCUGGGGCUCCCUGCCCUCUUCCCCAUGGAUGAGACUCUUCCCAGCCUUGGGCAAACACAGCGGGGAGCUGGCACCAUCUCCCGCUAGACACCUCCUCCUUUUCCUCUUGCCCUUACCAUGACUCCCGAGUUAUUCUCAGAAGUAAAAGCUUUCCACGCCUGCUCUUCUCUCCUGCAGCCAGGAGUGCAAAUUUAGAUAUUGGAGCUGCUCAGGCAGAAAAAUGGCCCUGGAAUCAGGGAAGCAGAAACCUGCAGCUGCCACGAAAGGACCGCGGAGAUGAAGACCCGGAAGCUUGCAUGUGUUGAAGCCCGGGGUGUGGGGGACUGUGGUCACGUACUCGAGGGGGCUUCAGAGACCUCUGGGAAGCCCUUUCUGCCCACUCGAAGCCUGCCCCUGUGCCUGACAAUCUUCCAUCGGGAGCGAUGUCAUAAAGAAGAAAUGGAAUUCAGUGGGAAGAGUGGUGGACUCGGGGACAAAAGAUCUGGGUUUGCGCCCUGGCUCUGACCUAACUCACCAGCAUUAUUGGAGGCACGUUAGUCUUCUCAGGUCAAAGCUUCCAUCUCUCCCUGUUUCAUGAACUUAACUUCUGAGGAGUACUGGUCAGGUGUUCUGUAGGAUGUCCACCUGCUGUUGGUCUGAUGCUUUUCACAUGAGGAUUCUGGGGUGAUGCUUCCCAAGAAGAAGACCUGAGACUCAGCCCGCCUGCACCCAGGUGAAAUAAAC